rnacentral:rRNA from 1 species
AGCGAACGCUGGCGGCAGGCCUAACACAUGCAAGUCGAGCGCCGUAGCAAUACGGAGCGGCAGACGGGAGAGUAACACGUGGGAACGUACCCUUUGGUUCGGAACAACCCAGGGAAACUUGGGCUAAUACCGGAUAAGCCCUUACGGGGAAAGAUUCAUCGCCGAAGGAUCGGCCCGCGUCUGAUUAGCCAGUUGGUGGGGUAAUGGCCCACCAAGGCGACGAUCAGUAGCUGGUCUGAGAGGAUGAUCAGCCUCACUGGGACUGAGACACGGCCCAGACUCCUACGGGAGGCAGCAGUGGGGAAUAUUGGACAAUGGGCGCAAGCCUGAUCCAGCCAUGCCGCGUGGGUGAUGAAGGCCCUAGGGUUGUAAAGCCCUUUCGGCGGGGAAGAUAAUGACGGUACCCGCAGAAGAAGCCCCGGCUAACUUCGUGCCAGCCGCCGCCGUAAAAC